GACGAACGCUGGCGGUGUGCUUAACACAUGCAAGUCGAACGGAAAGGCCCUGCUUGCUGGGUGCUCGAGUGGCGAACGGGUGAGUAACACGUGGGUGAUCUGCCCCCUACUUUGUGAUAAGCCUGGGAAAAUGGGUAUACUACUGGAUAGCGCCAUGCCGUUGGUGGUGUAGUGGAAAGAUCAGUUUAGCUUAGGGAUGUGCUCGCGGCCUAUCAGCUUGUUGGCGGGGUCAUGGCCUACCACGGCGACGACGGGUAGCCGGCCUGAGAGGGUGGACGGCCAGACUGGAAGGAAGACAAGGUCCAGACUCCUACGGGGGGCAGAAGUGGGGAAUAUGGGACAAUGGGGGCAAGUGUGAUACAGGCAUAAACCGUGGGCGGAGAAGGCCCUCGGGUGGUAACGCCCUUCUGUUGGGAAAGAAAAUCAGCAGGUUAAGAACCCGCUGUUGUGACGGUACCCGAAGAAUAAGCACCGGCUAACUUCGUG
rnacentral:rRNA from 1 species